AUACGUAGGUGGCAAGCGUUGUCCGGAAUUAUUGGGCGUAAAGCGCGCGCAGGUGGUUCCUUAAGUCUGAUGUGAAAGCCCCCGGCUCAACCGGGGAGGGUCAUUGGAAACUGGGGAACUUGAGUGCAGAAGAGGAUAGUGGAAUUCCAAGUGUAGCGGUGAAAUGCGUAGAGAUUUGGAGGAACACCAGUGGCGAAGGCGAUUGUUUGGUCUGUAACGGACACUGAGGCGCGAAAGCGUGGGUAGCAAACAGUAUUAGAUCCCCUGGUAGUCCACGCCGUAAACGAUGAGUGCUAAGUGUUGGGGGGUUUCCGCCCCUCAGUGCUGCAGCUAACGCAUUAAGCACUCCGCCUGGGGAGUACGGUCGCAAGACUGAAACUCAAAUGAAUUGACGGGG
rnacentral:rRNA from 1 species